rnacentral:rRNA from 1 species
UACUCUUGNNUCCNCNGAAUUCGGCAGAGAUGCCUUAGUGCCUUCGGGAACUGUGAGACAGGUGCUGCAUGGCUGUCGUCAGCUCGUGUUGUGAAAUGUUGGGUUAAGUCCCGCAACGAGCGCAACCCUUAUCCUUUGUUGCCAGCACGUAAUGGUGGGAACUCAAAGGAGACUGCCGGUGAUAAACCGGAGGAAGGUGGGGAUGACGUCAAGUCAUCAUGGCCCUUACGAGUAGGGCUACACACGUGCUACAAUGGCGUAUACAAAGAGAAGCGAACUCGCGAGAGCCAGCGGACCUCAUAAAGUACGUCGUAGUCCGGAUCGGAGUCUGCAACUCGACUCCGUGAAGUCGGAAUCGCUAGUAAUCGNAGAUCAGAAUGCUACGGUGAAUACNUUCCCGGG